rnacentral:rRNA from 1 species
UACGAAGGGGGCUAGCGUUGCUCGGAAUUUACUGGGCGUAAAGCGCACGUAGGCGGCUCUUUUAAGUCGGGGGUGAAAUCCUGGAGCUCAACUCCAGAACUGCCUUCGAUACUGAAGAGCUCGAGUCCGGGGAGAGGUGAGUGGAACUGCGAGUGUAGAGGUGAAAUUUCGUAGAUAUUCGCAAGGACACCAGUGGCGAAGGCGGCUCACUGGCCCGGUACUGACGCUGAGGUGCGAAAGCGUGGGGAGCAAACAGG